rnacentral:tRNA from 1 species
GGCUCUAUCGUCUAACGGUUAGGACACGUGCUUUUCAAGCACGGAAUCCGGGUUCGAUUCCCGGUAGAGUCA